rnacentral:rRNA from 1 species
UACAGAGGGUGCAAGCGUUACUCGGAUUUACUGGGCGUAAAGCGUGCGUAGGCGGUUCGCUAAGUCGGUUGUGAAAUCCCUGGGCUUAACCUGGGAACUGCAGUCGAUACUGGCGGACUAGAGUACGGUAGAGGGUGGCGGAACUCCGGGUGUAGCGGUGAAAUGCGUAGAUAUCCGGAAGAACACCGAUGGCGAAGGCAACCACCUGGGCCUGUACUGACGCUGAGGUACGAAAGCGUGGGGAGCAAACAGG